GACGAACGCUGGCGGCGUGCUUAACACAUGCAAGUCGAGCGGUAAGGCCCUUUCGGGGGUACGACGAGCGGCGAACGGGUGAGUAACACGUGGGUGACCUGCCCUCAGCUCUGGGAUAAGCCUGGGAAACCGGGUCUAAUACUGGAUAUGACUCCAUGACGCAUGUUGUGGGGUGGAAAGCCUUGUGCGGCUGAGGAUGGGCCCGCGGCCUAUCAGCUUGUUGGUGGGGUGANGGCCUACCAAGGCGACGACGGGUAGCCGGCCUGAGAGGGCGACCGGCCACACUGGGACUGAGACACGGCCCAGACUCCUACGGGAGGCAGCAGUGGGGAAUCUUGCGCAAUGGGCGAAAGCCUGACGCAGCGACGCCGCGUGAGGGAUGACGGCCUCGGUGUAA
rnacentral:rRNA from 1 species